CCUACGGGAGGCAGCAGUAGGGAAUCUUCCACAAUGGGCGAAAGCCUGAUGCAGCAACGCCGCGUGGGUGAAGAAGGUCUUCGGCUCGUAAACCCCUGUUGUUAGAGAAGAAAGUGCGUGAGAGUAACUGUUCACGUUUCGACGGUAUCUAACCAGAAAGCCACGGCUAACUACGUGCCAGCAGCCGCGGUAAUACGUAGGUGGCAAGCGUUAUCCGGAUUUAUUGGGCGUAAAGGGAACGCAGGCGGUCUUUUAAGUCUGAUGUGAAAGCCUUGGGCUUAACCGGAGUAGUGCAUUGGAAACUAGGAGACUUGAGUGCAGAAGAGGAGAGUGGGACUCCAUGUGUAGCGGUGAAAUGCGUAGAUAUAUGGAAGAACACCAGUGGCGAAAGCGGCUCUCUGGUCUGUAACUGACGCUGAGGUUCGAAAGCGUGGGUAGCAAACAGGAUUAGAUACCCGUGUAGUC
rnacentral:rRNA from 1 species